UACGUAGGGAGCGAGCGUUGUCCGGAUUCAUUGGGCGUAAAGAGCUCGUAGGCGGCUUGGCAAGUCGGGUGUGAAAACUCCAGGCUCAACCUGGAGACGCCACCCGAUACUGCCAUGGCUAGAGUCCGGUAGGGGACCACGGAAUUCCUGGUGUAGCGGUGAAAUGCGCAGAUAUCAGGAGGAACACCAAUAGCGAAGGCAGCUCGCUGGGACGGUACUGACGCUAAGGCGCGAAAGCGUGGGGAGCGAACAGG
rnacentral:rRNA from 1 species